rnacentral:rRNA from 1 species
AUACGUAGGGGGCGAGCGUUGUCCGGAAUGAUUGGGCGUAAAGGGCGCGUAGGCGGCGCGGUAAGUCUGGAGUGAAAGUCCUGCUUUCAAGGUGGGAAUUGCUUUGGAUACUGCCGCGCUUGAGUGCAGGAGAGGUUAUCGGAAUUCCCGGUGUAGCGGUGAAAUGCGUAGAGAUCGGGAGGAACACCAGUGGCGAAGGCGGGUAACUGGACUGCAACGGACGCUGAGGCGCGAAAGUGUGGGGAGCAAACAGGAUUAGAUACCCUGGUAGUCCACACUGUAAACGAGGAAUGCUAGGUGUAAGAGGUAUCGACCCCUUUUGUGCCGGAGUUAACACAAUAAGCAUUCCGCCUGGGGAGUACGGCCGCAAGGUUGAAACUCAAAGGAAUUGACGGGG